rnacentral:lncRNA from 1 species
GGAGUCUCCUGCCCUGAGCCCUGGAUCUCUAGAAAAAUUGUAGUCUCUUGCUUCUCAUUCUUUCUCAGGCCUCGCUGCUUAUGGCUGAGUCUCCCCUUGCUUUUAACAAGAGCCAGCUCCGGGAUUGGGAUCUCCUGGGAUGGAGACCACUCUCUCCUUCCACAUGUGAAGUUUUAUUCAUGCAGCACCCUAGGAAAGACUUCUCCUCUGAUCCUUGAAGAGGAGAGCAGAUGUUUCCUAAGCUCAUCUCUUUGACUGCAAAGUCAAGGCAAGGAGGCUGCGGUGCUGCUUAUUGAUAAGAACCAGCCUUUGUGGAGCCAGCCUGCCAAACCUCCAAAUUAAUAAUAAUUUCCAUGCAAGGAGGAAGGAGGAGG